rnacentral:misc_RNA from 1 species
GAUGAAGAACGUAGUGAAAUGCGAUACGUAAUGUGAAUUGCAGAAUUCAGUGAAUCAUCGAAUCUUUGAACGCAUAUUGCGCUCUUUGGUAUUCCGAAGAGCAUGCUUGUUUGAGUAUCAGUAAACACCUCAAAGCUUUUGGAUUUUUUAAUCGAAAAGCUUUGGACUUGAGCAAUCCCAACACCAAUCUUUUUGAGAUCGGUGGCGGGUUGCUUGAAAUGCAGGUGCAGCUGGACAUUCUCCUGAGCUAAAAGCAUAUUCAUUUAGUCCCGUCAAAUGGAUUAUUACUUUUGCUGCAGCUAACAUAAAGGGAGUUUGACCGUAUUGGCUGACUGAUGCAGGAUUUCACAAGGGUCGGCAACGAUUCUUGUUAAACUCGAUCUCAAAUCAAGUAAGACUACCCGCUGAACUUAAGCAUAUCAAUAAGCGGAGGA